rnacentral:rRNA from 1 species
AGGGUUCGAUUCCGGAGAGGGAGCCUGAGAAACGGCUACCACAUCUAAGGAAGGCAGCAGGCGCGUAAAUUACCCAAUCCCGGCACGGGGAGGUAGUGACGAAAAAUAACAAUACAGGACUCACAUCCGAGGCCCUGUAAUUGGAAUGAGUACACUUUAAAUCCUUUAACGAGUAACAAUUGGAGGGCAAGUCUGGUGCCAGCAGCCGCGGUAAUUCCAGCUCCAAUAGCGUAUAUUAAAGUUGUUGCGGUUAAAACGUUCGUAGUUGAAUUUGUGUCCCACACGGGUAAUUGGCCCACUUACGGGUUCUUAUUACUUGCCGGCUUGCUGGCUUUAGUGUGCGGACGUUUUACCGGUGAGGGAAACGGUGUAGUUUCGGCUGCAAUACGCCCCUUAUUUAUUUCAUAAACCCGUCUUGGUGCUUUUAAUCGAGUGCCAAUGUGGGCCGGUACUAUUACUUUGAACAAAUUAGAGUGCUUAAAGCAGGCUAAAUUUAAUGAAAGUUAAAACGCCUGAAUAUAUUUUGCAUGGAAUAAUGGAAUAGGACCUCUGUUCUACUUUCAUUGGUUUUUAGACCAAGAGGUAAUGAUUAAUAGAAGCAGUUGGGGGCAUUAGUAUUACGAGGCGAGAGGUGAAAUUCGUAGACCCUCGUAAGACUAACUUAAGCGAAAGCAUUUGCCAAGGAUGUUUUCAUUAAUCAAGAACGAAAGUUAGAGGAUCGAAGGCGAUCAGAUACCGCCCUAGUUCUAACCAUAAACGAUGCCAGCUAGCAAUUGUAUGUAGCUACUAAUUUUGGUUCAUACAGUCGCUUUCCGGGAAACCAAAGCUUUUGGGCUCCGGGGGAAGUAUGGUUGCAAAGCUGAAACUUAAAGGAAUUGACGGAAGGGCACCACCAGGAGUGGAGCCUGCGGCUUAAUUUGACAACACGGGAAAACUCACCCGGCCCGGACACCGUAAGGAUUGACAGACUGAGAGCUCUUUCUUAAUUCGGUGGGUGGUGGUGCAUGGCCGUUCUUAGUUGGUGGAGCGAUUUGUCUGGUUAAUUCCGAUAACGAACGAGACUCUGGCCUAUUAAAUAGACGAUAUAUUUAAAAGUAUAUCGCGCUUCUUAGAGGGACAAGCGGCGUCUAGCCGCAUGAAAUAGAGCAAUAACAGGUCUGUGAUGCCCUUAGAUGUCCGGGGCUGCACGCGCGCUACACUGAAAGAAUCAGUGUGCGUUACGCCUAGUUCGGAAGAACCGGGUAACCCAAGUAAAUUCUUUCGUGCUUGGGAUAGGGAAUUGCAAUUAUUUCCCUUAAACGAGGAAUUCCCAGUAAAUGCGGGUCAUAAGCUCGCGUUGAUUACGUCCCUGCCCUUUGUACACACCGCCCGUCGCUACUACCGAUUGGAUGACUUAGUGAGGUCUUAGGACCGAGGUAAAGGUGCUUGUAAUGAGUGCUUUUGCUUUGGAAAUUUGAUCGAACUACGUUAUCUAGAGGAAGUAAAAGUCGUAACAAGGUUUCCGUAGGUGAACCUGCGGAAGGAUCA